rnacentral:rRNA from 1 species
UGAGCAAUCUGCCCUUCUCAUCGGAAUAAGCGUUGGAAACGACGUCUAAUGCCGAAUACGACCUCCUUUCGCAUGAUCGGAGGUGGAAAGCUCCGGCGGAGAAGGAUGAGCUCGCGGCCUAUCAGCUUGUUGGUGAGGUAAUAGCUCACCAAGGCGAUGACGGGUAGCUGGUCUGAGAGGGGCCGACCGGCCACACGUGGGACUGGGACACCGGCCCAGACCUCGUAACCGGGGAGG